rnacentral:lncRNA from 1 species
CUGACUUUGGGACUGGACCAGGUUGCUUCUCACCAUCUUCAUUAUCAACUUGCCCAACAUUUUCCAGUAGUUCAGAAACUGCUAAUUGCUUCUUCUUUUUUGGGUUUAAUUUCCAAUACAUGACUAAGGCAGCUUUUCUCACAGCUCUCUCCAAGUCAGUCUCAGAUGAUAGUUUUUUAACUUCUUGCUCAUUCUCAGAAGUGAUGCCUCUUCUGUCUGCUAGGCAUCUACGCAACAGUUUAACAGCUUCUCUUCGACCUUGCUUAGCAGCAAGGAUGAACCAAUCAACCGCACUACAGUUGUUAAGUUCUUCAUCCUCCUCUUCUGCUAAUCUCAAGAAGUGUUUCCCCACCUCUGUUUGUGCUUUUGGUUCUCC